GAUGAACGCUAGCGGGAGGCUUAACACAUGCAAGUCGAGGGGCAUCACGGGGUAGCAAUACUCUGGUGGCGACCGGCGCACGGGUGAGUAACACGUAUGCAACCUGCCUCGUACAGGGGGAUAACCCGGAGAAAUUCGGACUAAUAUCCCAUAAUGAUAUUGAAAGGCAUCUUUUGAUAUUUAACGCUCAGGCGGUACGGGAUGGACAUGCGUAACAUUAGCUAUUUGGCAGGGUAACGGCAUACCAAGGCUGCGAUGUUUAGUGGACCUGAGGGGGUUAUCCCCCACACUGGUACUGAGACACGGACCAGACUCCUACGGGAGGCAGCAGUGAGGAAUAUUGGUCAAUGGGCGCAAGCCUGAACCAGCCAUCCCGCGUGAAGGAAGAAGGCGCUAUGCGUUGUAAACUUCUUUUCCAGGGGGAGAAUUUUUCCGUCGUGACGGGAAGUGACGGUACUCUGGGAAUAAGCAUCGGCUAACUCCGUGCCAGCAGCCGCAGUAAUAC
rnacentral:rRNA from 1 species